UACUAGAGUAGCACUCGCAUAUCAAUAAGCGGAGGAAAAGAAACUAACAAGGAUUCCCCUAGUAACGGCGAGUGAAGCGGGAAGAGCUCAAAUUUGAAAUCUUAAAGGGUUUCCCUUUACGAAUUGUAGUUUAAAGAAGUGUUUUCUGUUGAGGUUUUGGUAAAAGUUCUUUGGAAUAGGACAUCAUAGAGGGUGAGAAUCCCGUAUUUGACCUUUACUUUCAACUUUGUGAUACACUUUCAAAGAGUCAGAUUGUUUGGGAAUGCAGUCCAAAAUGGGUAGGUAAAUUUCAUCUAAAGCUAAAUAUUGGCGAGAGACCGAUAGCGAACAAGUACCGUGAGGGAAAGAUGAAAAGAACUUUGAAAAGAGAGUUAAACAGUACGUGAAAUUGUCAAAAGGGAAGCGUUUGACACCAGUGUUGUUUUUCUGAAAAUCAAUUAAAGAACUGUUUAUGCUAAGCUGUUUAGACUUUAUCAGCUAUCUGUUUAGUUUUGAGCUUUUCUUUAAUGCACUUUCAGUUAACAAGUCAACAUCAAUUUCUUUUGCUGUAAAAAAGCUUGAGGAAGGUGGCUUGAGAUUCGUCUUAAGUGUUUAUAGCCUCUUGCCUAUGCAGUCGGAGAGAUUGAGGUCUGCAGCGUAGAUCCUUCGGGGCUAAAUGCAUUUGUGCUAAGUUAUAGCAUUUUAUAGACAACUUGUUGACUAUGAUUUGUCUUGUAGCUUACUCGCUUAUGUUAUUUUACCUACGCUUAGGAUGUUGAGCGCAUGUCUCUCUCU
rnacentral:rRNA from 1 species